rnacentral:tRNA from 1 species
AAGGGUGUAGCUCAGUGGUAGAGUAUUUGCCUAGCAUGCGUGAGUCCCUGGGUUUGAUUUCCAGCAUCCCAA